GACGAACGCUGGCGGCGUGCUUAACACAUGCAAGUCGAACGGAAAGGCCCUGCUUUUGUGGGGUGCUCGAGUGGCGAACGGGUGAGUAACACGUGAGUAACCUGCCCUUGACUUUGGGAUAACUUCAGGAAACUGGGGCUAAUACCGGAUAGGAGCUCCUGCUGCAUGGUGGGGGUUGGAAAGUUUCGGCGGUUGGGGAUGGACUCGCGGCGUAUCAGCUUGGUGGGGGGGUAGUGGCUUACCAAGGCUUUGACGGGUCGCCGGCCUGAGAGGGUGACCGGCCACAUUGGGACUGAGGGACGGCCCAGACUCCUACGGGAGGCAGCAGUGGGGAAUAUUGCACAAUGGGCGGAAGCCUGAUGCAGCAACGCCGCGUGCGGGAUGACGGCCUUCGGGUUGUAAACCGCUUUCGCCUGUGACGAAGCGUGAGUGACGGUAAUGGGUAAAGAAGCACCGGCUAACUACGUG
rnacentral:rRNA from 1 species